rnacentral:snoRNA from 1 species
CAUGAUGCUGGUUUGAUACUCACGUGUGACUCAAACCAAAUGAUCACAGCUUUCUCAACUGACC